rnacentral:misc_RNA from 1 species
GAUGAAGAACGCAGCGAAAUGCGAUAAGUAAUGUGAAUUGCAGAAUUCAGUGAAUCAUCGAAUCUUUGAACGCACAUUGCGCCCGCCAGUAUUCUGGCGGGCAUGCCUGUUCGAGCGUCAUUACAACCCUCAGGCCCACGGGCCUGGCGUUGGGGAUCGGCGGAGCCCCCCGUGGGCACACGCCGUCCCCCAAAUGCAGUGGCGGUCCCGCCGCAGCUUCCAUCGCGUAGUAGCUAACACCUCGCGACUGGAGAGCGGCGCGGCCACGCCGUAAAACACCCAACUCUUCUGAAGUUGACCUCGAAUCAGGUAGGAAUACCCGCUGAACUUAAGCAUAUCAAUAAGCGGAGGA